rnacentral:rRNA from 1 species
UAGGGGGCAAGCGUUAUCCGGAUUUACUGGGUGUAAAGGGAGCGUAGACGGCAUGGCAAGUCAGAAGUGAAAGCCCGGGGCUCAACCGCGGGACUGCUUUUGAAACUGUCAGGCUAGAGUACAGGAGAGGUAAGUGGAAUUCCUAGUGUAGCGGUGAAAUGCGUAGAUAUUAGGAGGAACACCAGUGGCGAAGGCGGCUUACUGGACUGUAACUGACGUUGAGGCUCGAAAGCGUGGGGAGCAAA